rnacentral:rRNA from 1 species
GCGUACACGGUGGAUGCCUAGGCAGUCAGAGGCGAUGAAGGACGUGCUAAUCUGCGAAAAGCGUCGGUAAGCUGAUAUGAAGCGUUAUAGCCGGCGAUGUCCGAAUGGGGAAACCCAGUGCAUUAAUGCACUAUCGUUUGAUGAAUUCAUAGUCAAACGAGGCGAACCGGGGGAACUGAAACAUCUCAGUACCCCGAGGAAAAGAAAUCAACCGAGAUUCCCCUAGUAGCGGCGAGCGAACGGGGAGUAGCCCAGAGUCAGCAUCGAUAUUAGCAUCAGGAGAAGGGUCUGGAAAGGCCAGCCAUAAAGGGUGAUAGCCCCGUAUCCGAAGGUGUUAGUAUCGUGAGCUCGAAGAGUAGGGCGGGACACGUGUUAUCCUGUCUGAAUAAGGGGGGACCAUCCUCCAAGGCUAAAUACUCCUGACUGACCGAUAGUGAACCAGUACCGUGAGGGAAAGGCGAAAAGAACCCCGGCGAGGGGAGUGAAAGAGAACCUGAAACCGUGUACGUACAAGCAGUGGGAGCCCCACCACCAAAGUAUUUCUGCAAGCGGUUUGACGGUUGGCGGCGCACAGCGACGCCCAACCCAUCCAAUCAAGCAGGGUGAAUACCAUCGAAUCAAGGCGCGAGGUUCAGGCCAAAUCAGGUAAAACCUGAAUCCGGUUGAAUCAAGCAAAUUGACGAAGAUGAGAGGGAUUGCCGAAGGCAAUCGCCGCAAAGUACGGAGUACUUUGGGGUGGGGUGACUGCGUACCUUUUGUAUAAUGGGUCAGCGACUUAUAUUCUGUAGCAAGGUUAACCGCAUAGGGGAGCCGUAGGGAAACCGAGUCUUAACUGGGCGUCAAGUUGCAGGGUAUAGACCCGAAACCCGGUGAUCUAGCCAUGGGCAGGUUGAAGGUUGGGUAACACUAACUGGAGGGCCGAACCGACUAAUGUUGAAAAAUUAGCGGAUGACUUGUGGCUGGGGGUGAAAGGCCAAUCAAACCGGGAGAUAGCUGGUUCUCCCCGAAAGCUAUUUAGGUAGCGCCUCGUGAACUCAUCUUCGGGGGUAGAGCACUGUUUCGGCUAGGGGGUCAUCCCGACUUACCAACCCGAUGCAAACUCCGAAUACCGAAGAAUGUAAUCACGGGAGACACACGGCGGGUGCUAACGUCCGUCGUGAAGAGGGAAACAACCCAGACCGCCAGCUAAGGUCCCCAAGUCAUGGUUAAGUGGGAAACGAAGUGGGAAGGCUUAGACAGCCAGGAUGUUGGCUUAGAAGCAGCCAUCAUUUAAAGAAAGCGUAAUAGCUCACUGGUCGAGUCGGCCUGCGCGGAAGAUGUAACGGGGCUAAACCAUGCACCGAAGCUGCGGCAGCAACAGCAAUGUUGUUGGGUAGGGGAGCGUUCUGUAAGCCGUUGAAGGUGGAUUGAGAGGUCUGCUGGAGGUAUCAGAAGUGCGAAUGCUGACAUAAGUAACGAUAAAGCGGGUGAAAAACCCGCUCGCCGAAAGACCAAGGGUUCCUGUCCAACGUUAAUCGGGGCAGGGUAAGUCGACCCCUAAGGCGAGGCUGAAAAGCAUAGUCGAUGGGAAACGGGUUAAUAUUCCCGUACUAAGGGUUACUGCGAAGUGGGGACGGAGAAGGCUAGGCUAUCCGGGCGACGGUUGUCCCGGUUUAAGCGUGUAGGUGGGUCGUGCAGGCAAAUCCGUACGACUAUAACACUGAGGCGUGAUGACGAGCCACCAAGGUGGUGAAGUAGUUGAUACCCAGCUUCCAGGAAAAGCCGCUAAGCGAUAGGUAAUCAUUAAUCGUACCCCAAACCGACACAGGUGGUUAGGUAGAGAAUACUCAGGCGCUUGAGAGAACUCGGGUGAAGGAACUAGGCAAAAUGGUGCCGUAACUUCGGGAGAAGGCACGCUGGUGUUGGGUGAAAUGGUUAACCCAUGGAGCUGAAGCCAGUCGCAGAUACCAGCUGGCUGCAACUGUUUAUUAAAAACACAGCACUGUGCAAACACGAAAGUGGACGUAUACGGUGUGACGCCUGCCCGGUGCUGGAAGGUUAAUUGAUGGGGUAAGCCGUAAGGCGAAGCUCUUGAUCGAAGCCCCAGUAAACGGCGGCCGUAACUAUAACGGUCCUAAGGUAGCGAAAUUCCUUGUCGGGUAAGUUCCGACCUGCACGAAUGGCGUAAUGAUGGCCAGGCUGUCUCCACCCGAGACUCAGUGAAAUUG